UAACAACUAGAUAGGUCCUUUAUUUUGUCUCUCAUAAGUAAUAUUCUUCCUUGUGCUAUCGACCCUUGUUUUGUUUUCUCAAAUCCAGCAUUGAACCAAAACAUUCAUCAGAACCCAGAAAAUUCAGUGAACCAGAAAGUCUACCAAUAGACCCAAAUUUGUAGAUGACUAUUUUCCUCCAUCCUAAACCUAUAUAACCAAUCCAAUAAAAUGACAAACUUAAAGAACUUCAGGUGCAAUUUUGUAGAUGACUAUAUUUACCAUGAUAAGAUUCAUGCUAAUAACUCCUUUUAUGUGCAGGUCUUGUGGGACUGUCACUCUCUUAUGCUUUAAACUUGACAGGAGCGCAAAUAUUUUGGAGUAGAUGGUUUUCCAACUUAUCAAACUAUAUCAUCUCUGUUGAAAGAAUCAAACAAUUCAUUCACAUACCAGCAGAGCCUCCUGCUAUUGUGAAUGGUAACCGACCUCCAUCUUCAUGGCCGUCCAAGGGAAAGAUUGAUCUUCAAGGCUUAGAGGUAAUGUUCCAUCCAUGUCUUCUUUUCCACCUUAAUUUCAAUAUGUUGUUUACCUACUUUAGUAUGAUGCCUGUUGUUUGUACAUUGGUUUCAGAUUCGAUAUCGCCCUAAUGCUCCGUUAGUCCUCAAGGGAAUCACUUGUACAUUUAAAGAAGGGAGUAGGGUAGGAGUUGUUGGAAGGACUGGAAGUGGAAAAAGUACUCUUAUUAGUGCUUUGUUUCGCCUAGUUGAGCCUUCAAGAGGUGAUAUUUUCAUUGAUGGGAUGAACAUAUGCUCAAUGGGGUUGAAGGAUUUGAGAAUGAGGCUAAGCAUAAUCCAUGCAGCUAUUGAAUGUAGUUAAAUUUUACAUGAGCCAUUCAAUAAGCACCAGUUUGGUUAUAUUUGAUUUGUUUGUUUAGGCUGUGGAGAAAUGUCAGCUUAAGGAAACAAUCAGCAAGCUACCAAGUCUCCUGGACUCUUCAGGUCAGUCUUUGGCAACCAUCUAAUAGCAUGACUUACUAAAAUGAGUCUUAGUAGAUGACUUUUGAAGCAAUAAAUAGACUAUGAAAGUCUAAUUAUUUUUAAGUUUUACAGUGAGUGAUGAAGGUGGAAAUUGGAGCUUAGGACAACGCCAAUUGUUUUGUCUUGGAAGAGUUCUACUUAAGAGAAACAGAAUUCUUGUUUUGGACGAAGCUACUGCAUCUAUCGACUCUGCCACAGAUGCCACUCUACAAAGAGUGAUUAGACAAGAAUUUGCCGAAUGCACAGUUAUAACUGUGGCUCAUAGAGUUCCAACUGUAAUAGACAGUGACAUGGUCAUGGUUUUAUCUUAUGGUAUGUUAAUUCCUUAUUCCUUAUUCUUUUUUCAUUUUUAUAUAUGCUGCUACUUCUCUUUUCUAGUAGUACUAUCUGAUGCCUCAUAAUUUUUGGUUGGUUAUUGAAGGGAAAUUGGUGGAAUAUGAUGAGCCUUCAAAGCUAAUGGACACCAACUCGUCAUUUUCUAAGCUGGUAGCUGAAUACUGGUCCAGUUGCAGGAAGAAUUCCUUCACAAAUAUUAGCAGCCUGCAGUAAUGAAUAAUGAGUUUAUGGAAAAUUAAUAUUGGUCCUGUUGAAAGAAAUUGGUUGACAUCAAGUAGUUAUGACUUAUGAGCCCAGAUGAAUAAAGGGGAAACUAUGACGAAAUAUUUUUGUUCAUGUACAUAUUGCAAUUUAGUUGCUCAUAAAUCAUAAUAUAUUCAAAAUUUUAAAAUAUUUUCUCACACAAAUUCAACACAGAAAUACUCUGGAUAUACAAAGCUAAUGGUGAAAAGGAUUUGCAUUUUUUUUUAAUCAAGUAGCCUAAUGGUUAGAAUUUGACCUUUAAGAUGAAUAAGUAGAAUGUCUUCUAACGUUUCAGAAUUUUGUUAAUUCAUGUUAGUCUUGAUACCUUAGCGUUUAGGUUUCCUCGUAGUUUUUAGUUUCUUUUGGGGCUACUUCCCUUUGCAUCAACAAAAAAAUGAGUAUUAAUUUGGCAAAAAGAAGUUCUUCUCAAAAUACAAAUUUUCAUAAAAUAUAUCAUAAAAAGAAAAAUUGGACAUCAAAAUCAUAAUUUCCACAAGACAUCUAAAGUUUUAGAGGCGACCUUGAUGCAAAGCGGCGACUACCACUGGUGCGGUUAGCGAUCACUAGAUCAACAGAUUGAGUCAAGAGCAAUUAUAAUAAAAGUGAGGUUGAACACCACAUCUUCACCAAAAAUAUUAAGAAAUUGUGUUUAUGGAUCCUCUCCCUUGUUGCUCAACUUCCUCUCACUGUAUUUACGCAUUUUUUUUUUUAGUCUUUGCAUCAUUUUUUUUUGUUUUAGUCUCUGUAUGUGUAAAUCUUGUUGAUUUUCGUCAUGCCCAUUAAAAAAUAACUGCGUUUGUAGCUAAUUAGCUACCAAUUAGCUACAAACGCAAACAUGAGAGACGAAAAUCAACAAGAUUUACGCAAAUAGAUACUAAAACAAAAAAAAUGAUAUAUGGACUAAAACUCAAAAAGCGCGUACAUACAGGGACCAAUGUGAUAUUUAAACCUAUUAAAAUAUUAUUUCUAUAUUACUACUCCUGUUCAUUAAGGACAAAAGAAAGGAUAAAUUAACACAUAGAGAAAAUAUAUAAAACAAAUAAACAAACAAAUAAACAAUCAUGGAACAACAAAAAGACAAACAAAUGGUUAAUAUUCAAGCCAUGCAUAUAUUCGUGAAAUACAGUGGAACAGUUGGAGGCAAUCUUUGUCUAUCCAUCUAUUUUGUCUGAUCAGUUUGUCAGAUUCCUUAUACACAUGAUUUUCCUUUUUGAGUCAGAUUUGGAUGGCUUUUCAUUUCAUUCAUAUAUCAUGAUUAUUAUACUGCGUAGAUAUUAUCCACACGAUCCUUCUUGGAUAGGCACCGCAUGAUUAUUAUUAUCAAUUAUUAGUAUAUACUCGUCCAUCGUAUAGGUAAAAUAUGAUAAUUUAAAAUAUGAUUUUUCACAUCCUGACCGCUAGUCAAAAAAUAAAAAAAUUUAUGUUUUAUUUGAUUAUUAAUUAUGAGAAAAAGAAAAAAGAGAGUAAAUUAAAUCCAAUUUACUAAUGAGAAUAACUAAAAAUAAAUCUUAAAAUGAUAAAAACCAAUUGCUUCUUUUUUAUUUAUAAUUUGAGAUUAAAAAAAGUAAUUUUUUUUCUUCUUAUAAUGCGGAUAAUAUUGGAUAGAUCUACACAAAACGCUGUCUUUUUUCAAGUGUCCCUAUGCUAUAUUCUUUCGGAUUUUCAAUUUAUUGAAUAAUUGAUGUAUUUAGUCUUUAAUAUAGAUUAAAUAUAUCAAUUAUUAAAUGAAUCUAAAAAUAUAAAUAUUUGUAUAUAAUUAAGACCGAAUCAAAUAUUUUUAAAAGUUGCACGUUAUUGUUUCGGAUAAAUGUUCACUGUGGCCCUAAUAAUAUUUAAACUUGAAAGAAUGGAGAAAAAUUGAUUAAGGGUCCGUUUGACCUAGUUUUUUUCCUCUUAUUUUUACUUAAAAGUAAGAAGUUAGGCCAAACAACAAUUUCUAAAAGCUAUAGUGAAAAAGAAAAAAAAAACAGUUUCUAUAUUUUAGAAAAAUAAUAAUAUAUUAUCAAAUAUAUCUUUUAACCCUAUUAUACUAAAAAAACAACAAUUUUUAACUUUUUUUUUAUAAAAAAAAAUUAAGAUUUACCUAACAAUAUUAAAUUUAGUUAAAAAGCUAUUAAUUCUAGCUUUAUAAUUAAAAGAACUUUUACAACUAAAAAAAACUAGGCCAAACGGACCCUAAGAAUUAUGAUGUAAAAGUUGAAAUUUUUCUUUAGAGAUCCAUUCUCACCCAUCAAUUAAAUUUGUAAUGUAGAAGGGCGUUUGGAUUCGGUUUAUUUUCGAGUUUAUAAAAAUAGCUUAUGCAAAUAAAUAAAGUUUUAUAUUAAUUUAUAAGUUUUUACUAAUAAAAAUUAUAUUUUUUAAGUUAUUAUUCUCAUAAACUACAUUAAAAAAAUUAUAAUAAUGCAUAAAAGUUUAUUUGUUUGCAUAAGUUAUUUUUGGAUACGCUAAAAAAUAAGUCAAUCCAAACGGGCCAUAGAAGAAAUUAAAUAAGUUUUUUUUUUUUUGUUUAUAAUGAGCCGUAGAUCGAACUAAACCUAUAUGGUACUACGUACCCAAACCUCUCACCACUAGACCAAACCUAGUGGCUUAAUUAAAUAAGCUUUUUGUGUAAAAGNNNNNNNNNNNNNNNNNNNNNNNNNNNNNNNNNNNNNNNNNNNNNNNNNNNNNNNNNNNNCAAGAUAAAAAACCUCCAUCACUGAAAAUGUGAGCUCACUGAAAAUGAUACAUUUGAUAAUUCCUAUAAAAAUAUUCUCUCAAUAAAAAUAUUUUAUCAAUACCAUUGUUCUUUAAUUAUUUCACUCAAAUUGAAAAAAAAAAAUAAAAACCCUUAAUUAGAUGCACCUAUAAAACUAUUUUGACACUCUCUGCAUGAGCUCGUACCACCACUUAUUAUAAACUAGUCACAAAAUUGAAAAGCAUGAUGUUUACUACUUCUUUGUAACAAUCAUUGCUCUAUGUUCUGUUCAGCUGAGGAGAGUAGCACAAACCAUUAAUUCAAACUCAACCUCCUAAAAUGCCUUACUUUUGGAACUCAACAGGUAACUUCCAUUCUUUUUCACUCUUUUUUGUACUAUUUGAUUUAUGUAUGUCACAUCUAUCAUAGUUGUGAAAUAUUUCAUAUAUUCAACAAUAGAUAUUUCUUGCUCAUGGAGUUCAUGUUCUGAUAAGUGUGAAGUCGAUUAAGUCUCACAUUAUUAUUUAGAAAAGUGGAGGUUGAACAUUUUAUAAGUUAAAAGAUUCAUAAAUCCUAUGCCAUAAAGUUUUGGGUAAAGAUGUGGUGUCUAACUUAGUUAUAUAGUUAAGUUGUUCUUAAGCCCAAUGUGGAUGAUCCCUAGGAUGCCCCCUCAUGACCCAACAAGAGCGGAGAGAUUCGAAAAGGCUUUGAUCGGCUUCUUGUAUCGAAAGUCAGUUUCUUUUCAUAUUGUUUGGAUUAGCGGUGCAACUUGUUGUCCACUUAUUUUCUAUUAUUAUCCUAAAUAUAUAUAUAAAGAAAAUGAUCUGUAUGGCUAAUAUACGCUAUUGGAAUAUUUUACCUUGUUUAUUCCUUUCAAAUGAUGUCGAUAUAUUUACACAUUGUCUUACCAAAAAUAUAUUUACACAUUGUUGGCCAAUUAUCUUGGCUAUAUAACUGAAUGGAAGAAUUUCUAAAAUAUGUCACUAGGUAUGUUCUAGUGGUGAAGACUUUGGGUAGGAUGUAUGAUGUGAGAGAAUUUCUAAAAUAUACUUGAAAGGAUGCAAUGAUUAGUUUGAAAUAAUGUCUCUAAUGGUUUAGUCUUGGAACCUUUUAAGAACAAGAGUGAAUCAUAACAUUGUUUCAUAUUAACAUUAAAUGAUAUCUUUCAAUGAUUGAUUCCUUUCAUCAAAUGAUGAGUUUCUCUAUAAAUAGAGACACCCUUGAGGCAGAAAAGUUAAAAAUUAGAAAAUCAUGAGAUUCACGAGUCAGAAAUUCUGCCGAAAAUAUUCCUAAGUCAUUUCUUCAUUUCUCUAGUGCACAAGAGUCAUUGAAGGAACCUUAUUCUGUAAAUCUUCGCUGAUCGAUAUGCUUGAUAUGAGUGUGCAAUUCAUGUCAAAGUUUCCAAAGUAUCCUGAAGGGGAUUCAUCGGUUUAUGCCAUUUGCAUCCGGUUUGCAUGCAUAAACUGGUGGGGGCGAAUCGAACCUAAAGCUUAGUGUGUUCACAUACGCUUUGGAAUUUAUGUGCAAUAUUCAUCUUGUUCAUGUAUUUGCAACAGAUCCCCCAACAAAAGUUCUCACAUAUGAGGUCUUAAGUUCAAACUUCACUAGAUCUAUUGUAAACAAAAAAUAAAAAAAUGUGAUUGUGAAAUUGGAGAAAAAUGGAGUGGACUUGAGAUUUGUAAUUGUUUGCAAAAGAAAAAGUCCAUGCAAAAUUUGUGAAAUCAUAGAAAAAAUUGUUCCGAAACUUAUUACAUAUGAUAAAGUUGCUUCGGUGAAGAUAAUUUAAAAUAAGAGCUCUUAGAUGUCCUAAACGAUUGUGCCCUAACUCUUUGGAUAAAACGGAAAAAGGUGGAUGUUCUUGAGGUAUAGUGUGUGGGCUGGUGGAUAUAGGAUAAAGCUCACCCAAGCUGUUACAUCUUAUUAAUGGCAUAUGUCUGAAAAUCGUUCACAGAAAAACCAAAGGGAUAAAACGCAACAUAAACAUCAUUAUCAAUGGUAAAUUUUCUAACAGAUAUGAGAUUUUUAAUUAGUUUUGAUGCAUGCAAGACAUUGUUUAAGGGUUAAAGUUGAGUGAUGGUUAAUGCAUUUCCGCAACAAAUAACUAGAAUAUUAUGACCACUACCAACAGUAAUAUGAUUAUUCAUAUUAGAUUAAGAUGUAAGAUUACCUCCAUUCACCGUCAUGUGAAAUGUGACAACUAUGUACAUGUACCAUUGAUCAUCCGAAGGAGAAAUAGAGAGCGUGUGCAUAACAUCUUGAAUGCCAGUCGGUGCAUAUGAUGGUUGUGCAGCCGCGCUACAUGUGCCUGUUGAGGUUAUUUAUAUGUUUUUCUAAGAUUAUUCAACAUUAUAGAACAUUGAUUAAUUGUUUCUCUUUGAUGGUUUAUAUAUAUGCAGGUGAAAUUUCUGAGCCACUGCUAGCUCAAAAAGUUGAAAGAAAACAAACAGGACUAGGCCAUGCUACUUUCCAAAGCAAGUUGAUUUUCUCUUGGGUUAAUUCUUUACUCAAUUUAGGUUACUCAAAGCCACUAGCUCUUGAAGACAUACCUUCCCUUGUUUCUGAAGAUGAAUCAAACAUGGCCUAUCAAAAAUUUGUUCAUGCUUGGGAGUCCCUUGUUAGAGAGAGGGGGAAAAAUAAUACAAAGAGUUUAGUUCUAUGGUCUAUAGUUAGAACUUACUUAAAAGAAAACUUAUUAAUAGCAUUUUAUGCAUUAAUCAGAACUAUUUCUGUUGUAGUUUCACCUUUAAUAUUAUAUGCUUUUGUUAACUACUCUAAUAGGACUGAGGAAGAUCUUAAAAAAGGUCUUUCCAUAGUUGGUUUUUUGAUUGUCUCAAAAGUAUUUGAGUCUUUGCCUCAAAGACAUUGGGUUUUUAAUUCAAGGAGAUCAGGAAUGAAAAUGAGAUCAGCUCUUAUGGUGGCAGUUUACCAAAAGCAGCUAAGGCUUUCUAGCUCUGCAAGAACACGACACUCGGCUGGUGAAAUUGUGAAUUACAUUGCAGUUGAUGCAUAUAGAAUGGGAGAAUUUCCAUGGUGGUUUCAUACAACAUGGACUUCUGCAUUGCAACUUAUACUUUCGAUUGGUGUUCUUUUUGGUGUUGUUGGUAUCGGUGCUCUUCCUGGUUUAGUACCUCUUUUCAUCUGUGGACUUCUGAAUGUACCACUUGCAAGGAUCCUACAAAAUUGUCAGCUACAAUUUAUGAUUGCACAGGAUGAGCGUCUUCGAUCGACUUCAGAGAUUCUGAAUAGUAUGAAGAUUAUUAAGUUACAAUCAUGGGAAGAAAAAUUCAAGAACUUAGUUGAGUCACUACGCGAUAAAGAGUUUGUAUGGUUAUCUAAGACACAGUUCCUGAAAGCUAAUAAUUCAUUUCUUUAUUGGAUGGCUCCUACAGUUGUUUCUGCUGUUGUUUUCCUUGGAUGUGCUGUUACCAAGAGUGCACCUUUGAAUGCUGAAACCAUUUUCACAAUUCUUGCAACAUUGAGAAACAUGGGAGAACCUGUUAGAAUGAUCCCUGAGGCUCUAUCUAUUAUGAUUCAAGUUAAGGUUUCGUUUGAUCGUCUUAAUAAGUUUUUGCUUGAUGAAGAACUAAACAAUGAUGAUAGUAAAAGAAACUUGCAGCAAUGUUCGGUUAAUGCUGUGGAAAUUCAAGAUGGCAACUUCAUCUGGGAUCAUGAAUCUGUCUCUCCAACUCUAAAAGAUGUGAAUCUAGAAAUCAAUCGAGGACAGAAAAUUGCAAUUUGUGGACCUGUUGGAGCCGGAAAAUCGUCACUUUUGUAUGCAAUACUUGGAGAGAUUCCUAUGAUUUCAGGAACUGUAAGUUAUUAAAUAUAAUAUAUUUAACUUUUUAUAAUGCAAUUCAAAUUAAUAAACAUGGUAUCCGAAACUUGUUCACCCCUAUGAUAUUGGAAAACAGGUUAAUGUAGGUGGCACACUAGCCUAUGUCUCUCAAUCUGCUUGGAUACAAAGUGGAACAGUUCGAGAUAAUAUACUCUUUGGCAAGCCAAUGGACACAGCAAGAUACGAGAAAGCAAUUAAAGCUUGUGCCUUAGAUAAGGAUAUAAGUGACUUUAGCCAUGGUGAUCUUACAGAAAUUGGUCAAAGAGGAAUCAACAUGAGUGGAGGACAAAAGCAAAGGAUUCAACUAGCUAGAUCAGUCUACUAUGACGCUGAUAUCUAUCUCCUUGAUGAUCCUUUCAGUGCAGUUGAUGCACAUACAGCUGCAAUAUUAUUCAAUGUAAGGAAAUAUCACUUUUAUCAUGUUAAUUACUCCCUCCACUCCAAAAUAAGUGUCGUUCAAUGAAAGAAUGUUGCAAUUUUACAAAAGUAUCCUUACUAACUUCUGAUAAUUAACCAUUGUCAUAAUUUAGGGAUAGUAUGAAAAAAAGAAUUAAUGUUACUUUGAAAGAGCAUUAUGAUAUGUAUUUUAAAACAUUUUUUACAUGGUUAAAUGACACUUAUUUUGCAAUGGAGGCAGUAUAAUAAAACUGUAACUCAUUUUGUUGUAUCAAACUAACUGCAUCUACAACAAUACUACAGGAUUGUGUUAUGACUGCUUUAAGAAAUAAAACAGUCAUUCUAGUUACUCAUCAAGUGGAGUUUCUCUCACAAGUUGAUUCUAUCUUGGUAAACUAUUUCAUUUGGAUUCCUAUAUUAAAUUACAUUUGAGCAUAAUUAACAUGAUGAAAUCAAAUUCUAGGUAAUGGAAGGUGGAAAAGUUAUUCAAUCAGGUAGUUAUGAGAAUCUUCUGACAGCUGGAACAGCCUUUGAACUACUUGUGAAUGCUCAUAAAGACACAAUUACUGACUUGAAUCAAGAUCAUCCAAAUCAAAAUGGCUUUGAAAAUGAGGUUUUGACUAAAACUCAAAGUGAGGGAGAGAUUUCUAGUAUCAAGGGACCAAUUGGUACACAGCUUACACAAGAGGAAGAAAAAGUGAUUGGUAAUGUUGGAUGGAAGCCAUUCUGGGAUUAUAUUAACUAUUCAAAAGGGACAUUCAUGCUGUGUUCGAUUAUUUUAGUACAUUCUGUUUUUGUGGCUUUCCAGACUGCCUCAACCUUUUGGCUUGCUAUAGCCAUUGAAAUUCCAAAAGUAACUAAUGCCACCUUGAUUGGAGUUUAUGCAUUAAUUUCUUUUUCUGGUGUUGUUUUUGUUUAUGUAAAAUCUUACUUGACUGCACUUUUGGGAUUGAAAGCUUCUACUGCUUUCUUCUCAAGCUUCACUACAUCUAUCUUCAAUGCUCCAAUGGUUUUCUUUGAUUCAACUCCUGUUGGAAGAAUUUUAACUAGAGUAAGAUUUCUUCAUUCCUAAUCAAGAAAUAUAAUCUAUAUAUUUUCUUUUUGGUCAUUCGUUAGUUAUUACUAAUACGGAUCAACAUUUUCUUCUCUCUUGUGCAGGCUUCUUCAGAUUUAAGUAUUUUGGACUUUGAUAUACCUUAUUCCAUCACCUUUGUAAUAUGUGUAGGAAUUGAAAUUUUGGUGAUGAUUUGUAUAAUGGUUUCAGUCACGUGGCAAGUUCUCAUUGUUGCUGUUCCUGCACUGGUUGCAUCAAUAUUCGUUCAGGUUUCUUAUCCACUUUCUAUUUUUUCUUGAUUAUCUAUUCUCUUUCCAUGGUGAUAUUAAGAACUUAAUCUCAUUUCCUCCUCUUUUUAUUCUUCUAAAAGCAAUAUUAUCAAGCCACUGCAAGUGAACUAAUACGGAUCAAUGGAACAACCAAAGCUCCAGUCAUGAAUUUUGCAGCUGAGACAUCACUUGGAGUGGUUACUGUACGAGCAUUCAACAUGGCAGACAGAUUUUUCAAAAACUACUUACAACUUGUGGACACAGAUGCCUCACUGUUCUUUCACUCUAAUGUGACAAUCGAAUGGGAAAUUUUAAGGAUUGAAGCACUUCAAAAUUUGACUGUCAUCACUGCAGCUUUGUUGCUUAUUCUACUACCUCAGGGAUAUGUAUCCCCAGGUAAUAAUAUAAUAUGUGAAAAAUUGCACAUACAGUACUUUAAGUUUGACAUUUUCCAGGAUUGGACCUUUAAGUUUUUUUCAUAUUGGUCCUUUAAGUCUCGUUACACAAACAAAGUUUCCCUUUUUUAGAACUCCCGUCACAAAAAUAUACACGUGACCAUUAUGGGUGUUAUGUGGAUUAAGCGGCACUGAUUGGACUUGUAAACAUAUACCACAAUUACCUUUAAUAGUUUCUAAGUGAUAUUCUUCCUCGUGCUAUAGACCCUUGUUUAUUCCUCAAAUCCACCAACAAACCAAAAAAUUCAGUGAACCAGAAAAUCCAUCAAUGAACCUGAACUUGUAGAUGACUAUAUUUUCCCUCAUCCCUAAAUUUAAAGAACCAAUCCAAUAAAAAUGACAAACUUAAAGAACUGCAGGGGCAAUCCUGCCGAAAGUAACAAUUACCAUGAUAAGAUGUUGUCCAUGCUAAUAACUCCUUUUCUGUGCAGGACUUGUGGGACUGUCACUCUCUUAUGCUUUUACCUUGACAGCAGGCCAAAUAUUUUGGACUAGAUGGUUUUCCAACUUAUCAAACUAUAUUAUCUCUGUUGAAAGAAUCAAACAAUUCAUUCACAUACCAUCUGAGCCUCCUGCUAUUGUGGAUGGUAACCGACCUCCAUCUUCAUGGCCGUCCAAGGGCAAGAUUGAUCUUCAAGGCUUAG
rnacentral:lncRNA from 1 species